rnacentral:rRNA from 1 species
UACGAAGGGUGCAAGCGUUAUUCGGAAUCAUUGGGCGUAAAGCGCGCGCAGGCGGAUUGAUAAGUCAGGUGUGAAAUCUCGGGGCUCAACCUCGAAACUGCGCCUGAAACUAUUAGUCUAGAAUGUCGGAGGGGGCAGGGGAAUUUCACGUGUAGGGGUAAAAUCCGUAGAGAUGUGAAGGAACACCGGAGGCGAAGGCGCCUGCCUGGACGACUAUUGACGCUGAGGCGCGAAAGCGUGGGGAGCAAACGGG